rnacentral:rRNA from 1 species
AGGUGGCGCCAAGUCCAUAAAGUUCGGUACUCAGUUCAGAUUGUAGGCUGCAACCCGCCUGCAUGAAGAUGGAGUUGCUAGUAACCGCAGGUCAGCUAUACUGCGGUGAAUACGUUCCCGGGGCUU